AGAGAGGAAGAGAGGAAAGGAGGGAGAGAAACAUCAAUAAGUUGCUUCUACACUCUCAACCUACCUGUGAUGAACCUGCAACCCAGGUUGAUCUUGGGUACAGCUACCUUGCUGAACAUCCUUGCUGAUUCCGUUCACUUUUCCGAAUAGAUGAUUAAAUCAUCUGUAAAUCA